AUUCCAUAAUUUUCUUCAUUUUUUUUUAGAUGCUCCGGUACCUAUCGUGACGAUAUGUAUGUAUACUUUUUUUAGAGGUUUGUCUGGGGGGUGAUCUUCUGAGGGUCCUGAACCUGUAUUUGGAGGAAGACGUAGCUCGUUUCAUCAGUGGAUGUGUGGUGGAGCCGUUGAGCUAUUUGCACCGCAAUCCCAUCGUUUAUAGAUCGAUUGAACGCUACAAUGACGAAGGAAGUGUGCCGAGUGACGACACCUUCGAGUCGAACCUACGACUAGCCGUCAGAAGACAGAUUCCAACUGCUCAUCACCCCGUUACCGAGCCCAGAGGUUUGUAGAAUUUGACUGGGCUGCUCUCAGAUUCCAGACUAUGCCUGCACCGAGAAUUCUAGUGCCACUACUGCAAAACUCUUUCGAUACUUCGAUACUACAUUUCGAAACUGUUGAUUUCGUGGAAGAAGUACCGCCAUCUAUAGACACUAGCAACUGGGAUAUUGAUUUUUGACGAUUUGUUGGAGCAGAAAUUGAAAAUUGUAAAUAAUUUUCACUGUAAAUAUUGUAAAUAAUCUUGAGUGUAAAUAUAGUAAAUAAUUUCGAGUGUAAAUAUUGCAAAUAAUUUUGUGUGUAUAUAUAUAUAGAGAGAAAAAGUUUAUUUUAAUGGCCAUCGACCUAGGUCCUUCAGCCCGUAUAUAUAUAUAUUGUAAAUAAUUUUCGGCGUGAAUAUCCAAAUGAUUAUAUUGAUGGUUUGGUGCGAAAUUAUUGGUGGCAAACUAAUUGGUAUAAAUGUAUCAAAG